rfam:Schistosoma mansoni strain Puerto Rico chromosome 3, complete genome
AUCCAGCUGACGAGCCCUAAAUAGGACGAAACACGCGUACUGGAU